UCAUCUUCGGGGGUAGAGCACUGUUUCGGCUAGGGGGUCAUCCCGACUUACCAACCCGAUGCAAACUACGAAUACCGAAGAAUGUUAUCACGGGAGACACACGGCGGGUGCUAACGUCCGUCGUGAAGAGGGAAACAACCCAGACCGCCAGCUAAGGUCCCAAAGUCACAGUUAAGUGGGAAACGAUGUGGGAAGGCACAGACAGCCAGGAUGUUGGCUUAGAAGCAGCCAUCAUUUAAAGAAAGCGUAAUAGCUCACUGGUCGAGUCGGCCUGCGCGGAAGAUGUAACGGGGCUAAACUGUGCACCGAAGCUGCGGCAGCGACACUAUGUGUUGUUGGGUAGGGGAGCGUUCUGUAAGCCUGCGAAGGUGGCCUGUGAGGGUUGCUGGAGGUAUCAGAAGUGCGAAUGCUGACAUAAGUAACGAUAAUGCGGGUGAAAAGCCCGCACGCCGGAAGACCAAGGGUUCCUGUCCAACGUUAAUCGGGGCAGGGUGAGUCGACCCCUAAGGCGAGGCCGAAAGGCGUAGUCGAUGGGAAACAGGUUAAUAUUCCUGUACUUGGUGUUACUGCGAAGGGGGGACGGAGAAGGCUAUGUUAGCCGGGCGACGGUUGUCCCGGUUUAAGCAUGUAGGCGGAGGUUCCAGGUAAAUCCGGUACCUUUUAACGCUGAGGUGUGAUGACGAGGCACUACGGUGCUGAAGUAACAAAUGCCCUGCUUCCAGGAAAAGCCUCUAAGCAUCAGGUAACAUUGAAUCGUACCCCAAACCGACACAGGUGGUCAGGUAGAGAAUACCAAGGCGCUUGAGAGAACUCGGGUGAAGGAACUAGGCAAAAUGGUGCCGUAACUUCGGGAGAAGGCACGCUGAUAUGUAGGUGAAGCCCCUGCGGGUGGAGCUGAGAUCAGUCGAAGAUACCAGCUGGCUGCAACUGUUUAUUAAAAACACAGCACUGUGCAAACACGAAAGUGGACGUAUACGGUGUGACGCCUGCCCGGUGCCGGAAGGUUAAUUGAUGGGGUUAUCCGUAAGGAGAAGCUCUUGAUCGAAGCCCCGGUAAACGGCGGCCGUAACUAUAACGGUCCUAAGGUAGCGAAAUUCCUUGUCGGGUAAGUUCCGACCUGCACGAAUGGCGUAAUGAUGGCCAGGCUGUCUCCACCCGAGACUCAGUGAAAUUGAACUCGCUGUGAAGAUGCAGUGUACCCGCGGCAAGACGGAAAGACCCCGUGAACCUUUACUAUAGCUUGACACUGAACAUUGAGCCUUGAUGUGUAGGAUAGGUGGGAGGCUUUGAAGCGUGGACGCCAGUCUGCGUGGAGCCAACCUUGAAAUACCACCCUUUAAUGUUUGAUGUUCUAACGUGGACCCGUAAUCCGGGUUGCGGACAGUGUCUGGUGGGUAGUUUGACUGGGGCGGUCUCCUCCCAAAGAGUAACGGAGGAGCACGAAGGUUAGCUAAUCCUGGUCGGACAUCAGGAGGUU
rnacentral:rRNA from 1 species